rnacentral:rRNA from 1 species
GACGAACGCUGGCGGCGCGCUUAACACAUGCAAGUCGAACGGAAAGGCCUGCUUUCCCUUGUGGAUUGCGGGUACUCGAGUGGCGAACGGGUGAGUAACACGUGAGUGAUCUGCCCCCAACUUGGGUAUAAGCCUGGGAAACUGGGUCUAAUUCCCGAUAGGACUGCAGGGUGGUGCCUGUGGUGGAAAACGAUUUUCUAGUGGGUGGGGAUGAGCUCGCGGCCUAUCAGCUUGUUGGUGGGGUAAUGGCCUACCAAGGCGGCGACGGGUAGCCGGCCUGAGAGGGUGGACGGCCACAUUGGGACUGAGAUACGGCCCAGACUCCUACGGGAGGCAGCAGUGGGGAAUAUUGCACAAUGGGCGGAAGCCUGAUGCAGCGACGCCGCGUGGGGGAUGACGGCCUUCGGGUUGUAAACUCCUUUCGACCGCGAGGAAGCCACCUGGUUGGAAGGGUGGUGACGGUAGUGGUAGAAGAAGCACCGGCUAACUACGU